GUUAGUUUUCUGUACAAAACAAGAACAAUGAAAGUAUUUGUUUGUAUUUUUUUGCUUCUGGUGAUUUAUUUUGCUGCAACUGAGGGACAGUUAGAUCUUCAAUGUCCCGCAAAAUGUGAACCAAAAGGAGGAGAAAUCUGUUGUAUUUACAGUAGAAAGGAAAAAGCUACUUUCCCUAAUCAAUGUGUUUCUGAUCAAACCAACUGCAAAUCAGGAAGACGGUGCAUAAGAAUACGAAGAAGACCCUGUAGAAAAUCCAGAAAAUCCAAAAGAAGACAAGGAUAGAGUUUUCUUGUUAUGCAAGGGUUGGGUAGUUUCACGUAUGCAUCAGUUUCGAAAAUGAUGUUUUAUUGGGAGAAAAAUAAUUAUUUAGGAAAUGGUCUGUAUAUUUUUAAAUAGUCAGUAUCUAAGAGGAACUAACGGAAUAUAAUCAGUUUGAAUAUAGUUUAUAUUUGUUUAGCAAGGGUCUUGAAAAAAAGGUUCAGCUGCGUGAAACUACACAUCAUCCACUACAUCUUACUAUGUGAAACCCUUGUAACUUUGAACUUAAAAUAAAGAAUUUAUCCACAAUAA